AUUGAACGCUGGCGGCGUGCUUUACACAUGCAAGUCGGACGAGUGGCGAACGGGUGAGUAACGUAUGGGAACGUACCGGGUAAUGGGGGAUAACUGCCCGAAAGGAUAGCUAAUACCGCAUACUAUCCGAGCGGCCGAUGUCUGAUUAGCUGGUUGGCGGGGUAAAGGCCCACCAAGGCGACGAUCAGUAGCGGGUCUGAGAGGAUGAUCCGCCACACUGGGACUGAGACACGGCCCAGACUCCUACGGGAGGCAGCAGUGGGGAAUUUUGGACAAUGGGCGCAAGCCUGAUCCAGCCAUGCCGCGUGUCUGAAGAAGGCCUUCGGGUUGUAAAGGACUUUUGUCGGGGAGGCGUUACCUGAAGAAUAAGCACCGGCUAACUACGUGCCAGCAGCCGCGGUAAUAC
rnacentral:rRNA from 1 species